rnacentral:hammerhead_ribozyme from 1 species
AUUUAGGUGAUGAGUCCCAGAUAGAAUGAAACGCGUGUCUUGGAU